rnacentral:rRNA from 1 species
GUCCACGCUGUAAACGGUGUUCACUAGGUGUAGGAGGUAUCGACCCCCUGUGCCACAGAUAAUUCGUUAAGUGAACCGCCUGGGGAGUACGGCCGCAAGGUUGAAACUCAAAGAAAUUGACGGGGCCCGCACAAGCAGUGGAGCAUGUGGUUUAAUUCGACGAUACACGAAGAACCUCACCAGGGCUUGACAUCUGCAGAACACCUUGGAAAACUUGGUGGUGCCCGCAAGGGAGCUGCAAGACAGGUGGUGCAUGGCUGUCGU